CUCCCUCAGAGCAUGGCUGUCCUGGUGCUGCUCCUCUGCCUGGUGACCUUGCCAAGCUGUGCCCUGUCCCAGGUGCAGCUGAAGGAGUCAGGACCCGGCUUGGCGCAGCCCUCACAGCCGAUGUCUCUCACCUGCACUGUCUCUGGGUUCUCCUUAACCAGCAGUGCUGUGCACUGGGUUCGCCAGCCUCCAGGAAAGGGUCUGGAGUGGGUGGCUGCUAUAUGGAGUGAUGGAAGCACAAAGUAUAAUUCAGCCCUUGAAUCCCGACUCAGCAUCAGCAGGGACACCUCCAAGAGCCAAGUUUUCUUAAAAAUGAACAAUCUGCAAACUGAGGACACAGCCAAGUACUACUGUGCCAGACACACAGUGGUGUGA